CGUGGCUAUGUUGCUGCUCUGGCCCUUGGUGCUCAAGGGGUCUGCCUAGGCACUAGGUUUGUUGCAACAGAGGAAAGCUAUGCUCAUCCGACAUACAAGAAGAAGUUGAUUGAGCUCAACGAAACUGAGCAUACAAAUGUGUUUGGCAGGGCCAGGUGGCCUAAUGCACCACAACGUGCUCUGGUAACUCCUUUCUUCAAUGAUUGGAAGUCUCUCCCACCUCAUGAGAAUGAGCUUAAUCAACCUGUCAUUGGUCGUGCAACAAUAAACGGCCAGGAAAAAGAGAUUCGUCGUUUUGGGGGCACCAUUCCGAAUGUGACGGCAACAGGUGACGUAGAAAGCAUGGCAAUGUAUGCUGGUGAAGGUGUUGGCCUUAUUAAUGCAAUUCUUCCAGCAAGUGAAGUGGUUAAAAGGCUAGUCGAGGGAGCUCAACAACUGAUCCACAAAGAAUUCAGUAACCCAUAGUUCAACUUCUGCAUAAUUCUUAGAAGCAUUGGAAUUAUUUUCAGAAAAAUAAUUCCUUGUAUGUAGAGACUCUCUGUUGCUUAAUAAUUACUUGUAUCCUUUUUGUUUGUCGCUCCCUCGACUAGCCUUUUA
rnacentral:misc_RNA from 1 species